rnacentral:rRNA from 1 species
AGUGAACGCUGGCGGUAGGCCUGACACAUGCAAGUCGAACGGCAGCACAGUAAGAGCUUGCUCUUACGGGUGGCGAGUGGCGGACGGGUGAGGAAUACAUCGGAAUCUACUUUUUCGUGGGGGAUAACGUAGGGAAACUUACGCUAAUACCGCAUACGACCUACGGGUGAAAGCAGGGGAUCUUCGGACCUUGCGCGAUUGAAUGAGCCGAUGUCGGAUUAGCUAGUUGGCGGGGUAAAGGCCCACCAAGGCGACGAUCCGUAGCUGGUCUGAGAGGAUGAUCAGCCACACUGGAACUGAGACACGGUCCAGACUCCUACGGGAGGCAGCAGUGGGGAAUAUUGGACAAUGGGCGCAAGCCUGAUCCAGCCAUACCGCGUGGGUGAAGAAGGCCUUCGGGUUGCAAAGCCCUUUUGUUGGGAAAGAAAAGCAGCAGGUUAAUACCCCGCUGUUCUGACGGUACCCAAAGAAUAAGCACCGGCUAACUUCGUG